AGUGAACGCUGGCGGUAGGCCUAACACAUGCAAGUCGAACGGCAGCACAGGAGAGCUUGCUCUCUGGGUGGCGAGUGGCGGACGGGUGAGGAAUACAUCGGAAUCUACUCUGUCGUGGGGAUAACGUAGGGAAACUUACGCUAAUACCGCAUACGACCUACGGGUGAAAGCAGGGGAUCUUCGGACCUUGCGCGAUUGAAUGAGCCGAUGUCGGAUUAGCUAGUUGGCGGGGUAAAGGCCCACCAAGGCGACGAUCCGUAGCUGGUCUGAGAGGAUGAUCAGCCGCACUGGAACUGAGACACGGUCCAGACUCCUACGGGAGGCAGCAGUGGGGAAUAUUGGACAAUGGGCGCAAGCCGGAUCCAGCCAUACCGCGUGGGUGAAGAAGGCCUUCGGGUUGUAAAGCCCUUUUGUUGGGAAAGAAAUCCAGCUGGUUAAUACCCGGUUGGGAUGACGGUACCCAAAGAAUAAGCACCGGCUAACUUCGUGCCAGCCGCCGCCGUAA
rnacentral:rRNA from 1 species